rnacentral:rRNA from 1 species
CCUACGGGCGGCAGCAGUGAGGAAUAUUGGUCAAUGGGCGGGAGCCUGAACCAGCCAAGCCGCGUGAGGGAAGAAGGUACAGCGUAUCGUAAACCUCUUUUGUCAGGGAACAAAGGCGGGGACUAGUCCCCGGAUGAGGGUACCUGAAGAAAAAGCAUCGGCUAACUCCGUGCCAGCAGCCGCGGUAAUACGGAGGAUGCGAGCGUUAUCCGGAUUUAUUGGGUUUAAAGGGUGCGCAGGCGGCCUGUUAAGUCAGCGGUAAAAGCCCGGGGCUCAACCCCGGCGAGCCGUUGAAACUGGCGGGAUGGAGUUGGAGAGAAGUACGCGGAAUGCGCGGUGUAGCGGUGAAAUGCUUAGAUAUCGCGCAGAACUCCGAUUGCGAAGGCAGCAUGCCGGCUCCACACUGACGCUGAGGCACGAAAGCGUGGGUAUCGAACAGGAUUAGAUACCCCUGUAGUC